AGAGAGAGAGAGAGGGAGGCAGAGGGAAACGUGCUUGAGAAGUUCUGAACUUUAGCACCUGACUUUUUAGGCAGGAGCAAACCCAUCCCAUCCCUGAGCCAGCCCUGGGAAGCGCCGCUCUGCCCUGGACCCACCUCUCCCAGCGCUUCUUUCUCUUUCGCUCUCUCCCCGCCCGGCUCGCAGCGAAGCCCGUGCAGCCGCAGCUCCGACUCUGGCUUCGCUUUUUCUCUCUCUCUUUUAUUUUUCCUCUCUUUUUUUUCCUCCGUUUUUUACUUUUCUUCUUUCAUUUUCCCUCCUUCCCUUCCCCCCUUCCCCCCCUUUUUUUUUCUGUUUUUGUCGCCGCGGUUGUUUGUUUGUUUAUUUAUUUGCUCAAUUUGCACCUGAGCAGCUCCGGUGCCUUAAGCCCGGUGAGAACUUGUGCCAUUCGCUGCGCCGCAGCCUACGGCCGCUCUGAUUGCUCAUUAAUUAUUAUGCAACCGGGAAAAGGGAGGAAGAAAGGGAAAAGAGAGGAAAGGAAAAAAAAUACAAGAGGAGGGGGGAAAGCGACAGAGAAGAAGGUGGGGGUGCGAGGGCAAAAGGAGAAGGAAACCGGAGGGGGAAAAAAAAAAAAAAAAAAAACCAAGUUGCAAAAGAAAUUCCGCACAAACCUUGGUGGAGGAGCAGUGUGUGACCCAGGAGGGAUGAAGCUGAAAGUGCUUGAUCGGAUCGGAUUGUGCUCUCUCGCUCUCCCUAUUUUUUUUUCCCCUUUUUUUUUUUUCUUUCCUCCCUCUCUCUUUUUUUUUUUUUUUUUUUUUUUUUUUUUUUUUUUUUUUUUACAGGGAAGGCAUUCUUUCUGAAAGGAGCAGGAUGGCGCCAGCCGGCUCAGUGCUUACAGACAGCUGUGGCGAGACGCAACUUAAGGAGGUUCCAGUGUCAUAAGCACGGGGGAGGCGGAGCCUGGCCCAGGCCACGAAACUUUGGGAGCUGAGGGCGGCCCGGGUGUCGCUCCCGGACGCUGUGCGAUGCACGGGGGUCGUUCCUCCCGCCUCCCCCCGCCCAUCCCAAUGGAUGCGGAACUUCAGGAGUGGCCGUAGCCCCGGCAGGUGCAACAUCUCCGGGAAAUAAAGCCGUGCCUCCUCGUGCUUAGAGCC